UGAACGACUAAUAACGGCUGGUGAGAUUACACGUGAAUUUUGGAGAGACGAGGAAGUAAAGCUCCAAGAAUCGUCUUUUUUGUUAGACCUUUACAGCGACAUUGAAUGGGAAGGCAUUCGAUGGAUCCUUAAGAAUAUGCACAACAAGUAUAAACAAAAUAAAAACUCAAACUUCAGCAACUUCGUAGCAGAAGCUAGAAGUAUAAUGAGAGCACUAAGAAGUACUCAAGGAAAAUAACUGUGUUUUGUUAAUUUACUUAUAUUUGAAUAAACCUCUUUUGUUUA